AGCCCCGUGGAGCACAGCAGCGUGUCCUUCGCAGGGCCAGGAGGACAGAGAGCAGCCAGCCCUGUGCCAUUAGCAAGCCCACGCCAUCUGUGCCCUGUUAGUCUUUCUUAACGAGACUAAAUAAAGGGUUGCUGGUCUCUAUAAUGAGGUUGGCUGGAGGCAAUAGCAGCUGGUGAUGGAGAAGGGGAGCAUCCAGGCUCUGCAGGGAGGUGUUGAGGCUGCUUCUGUGGUUUUCAUUGCCUGCUCCACCAGCUCCAGUGAAGGCACAUCUGAGUACACGGAUCUGGGUGAGAGCACGUGGCAAGUCCUUAUGGCCCAGCAUGAGAGCUCCAAGGGGAACAAAGAAAAUGGUCAAGCAAGCCACAAAAGUUCAUAAGUUUUACCGCUGCUGACUCAUGAAGGAGCUCAGGGAAGAGCAGGACCCUAUGGCCACAGCACCAUGUACCCCACUUUAGCCAAGAAGUACCUGGCUUAAAGCUGAAAGGCCAGAAAUACCUCAGCUGGGAGGGGAUGUGGCAGCCUCCUGGCAGGCCUGGCCAGCUCCUGUCCCCUCUUCCAGGAGGCCUUGCCACCAUCCUGCAGCCUGAGCACUUCCAUGGGCCUGCACCAGCCAUGGGCCAUUCUGCGUGCCUUGUUUUUUCAGCUGCCCUGACGUAGGUCAGGCUUUCAUCUCAGAUCAAAAAGGCGAAAUGACCACUGGGAGCCCUCACCUGCUGGUUUCAGAGAGCCUCUGAUGCACCUCCAGCUUCAUGAUCUCAGCAGCAGGCUGUCGUCUUGCUUCUGCAUGAAAUCAUCUCUGUGUGGAGGGACAGGGUUUGUGUGGGACAGGGCCGUGUCUAAGAUACCUUUGUAAGAUCAGAGGUGCCCAGCUAGGCAGAACACGUGCUGUGCUGUGUGAAAGUCAGGGUGGGAGCCUGCUGCAGCCAGGAGGCCAGGGUAGCCCAGAUAUGAAUUGCAAAGAGAAUGAAACUUUGAUUUUCCUGUCAGCUGGUGUGCUCUGCACUCCUGGCACCCUGCUGAUAAGCUUGUCUUAAUGGUGAUGGGCUACAAAGCUAUAUUGACCGUGUCUCCGGGCUGCCUGUCUCAAAGGGAAAGCUGUGCCUUCCCCAAGUUUUAUGACUCGAAGCUGUCAGGGGACGAGGGGGAAAGCCGUGAUGGAUUCAUUCUUCUGCCUUAUCCAGUGGCUACACUGCACCUUCUGCAAAUAUCAGCAUCUUGAAAGGCUUCAGAGAAAGAGCAAGCCCCAGAUAAAUCUCCAAGGUUUGCAAAGCUUUAUGGCAGGUGACAAUGGUACGUGAAAGGGCCUUUAUUUUACUGCCCCUGCUUGAUGCUGUUGCUCCUUCCUGCUCGCCUUUCUUCCAUCCUCUUCCCACUCUAACUUGUUUAUUACCAUUAAUAGUUUUUAAUAAAGAAACUUAAUUUUGGAUCAGAAUUCACUUGAGCUAGGUGCUGCAGAAACUCAGAGCAUUUCAUCUGUGCAUUUUCUCCUCCCUUCUCAUCCUACAUUGCCAUCUCCCUUCCCCAGAGCAGUUCUCGGGGCCCUGCGCCAGCCUGAGGUGCCUUUGGCUGUAUCCGAGCUGCUGGUCAUUGCCCAGCUGUGGGAGAUGUCCCAGCUUGGGGACAAGGCAGGGACACAACUUGGGACCUGGUCUGGGCAACAGGAGAGAGCUCCACAAGUCACAAACCAGGCCAGCUCAGCACUCAGGUUUAGAAAAUGGGCUUGAGUUCGUCAUGUUCCUUUCUGAGUCUUAAAAACUUGCAAGCAGUCACAGGACUGUGGGACAAAAGGCUUUAACAAAAAUAGUAAUAAAAGCUGUGAUAGCAGGAGCCUUUUCAGCCCUGCUGUGAACUGGGGCAGGAAUACCACACGUGGUGCUGGUGGGGAUGAGCACUCCUGGAUGAAGCAGGCUGUCCCUCUAGGCACUAAUCCAUCAGCCAGAAGUUUUCAGGGACAGAUCCAGGGUAGAAAUCCUAACUGAAAUUAUCUGGUUUGAAGCUCUUGAUUUGCACGUGUGCGAUGUACAGUGCUGUUUGGGGAGGGUUGCACGGGCUGGGUGGCUCCUGUACUGCAAAUUGCCUGCAAAUUUUGUUGCUUCAUUACUGGAGAAGGAUCAGAUGCAGGUUAAAUGGAUCAGGGCUGGGUGUCUGAUACCCACAGGAAAGUGAAAAGGACCCAGUUCUGCAAA